UGACUGGAGCCAGUUCAGCUCAGAAAAGUCUUAUCUUAAUUCAUGAGAUAAAUUUAAGAUAACACCUGCUAAUUCCUGUCAUCUGCAAUUUUUGUUUUAGGAUAUAGCUCAAUUGAUUUGGAUUAGAUCCAAUUAGGUUCAAGGAAAUCAUGCUUGCACACGAUUGAGCCUAACUUUCUCCUCGUGUAAUUUUUCUAUCUCGACUGAGCCAAAUAUGAUUUGACUCACCCAG
rnacentral:lncRNA from 1 species